AUUAGUAACGGCGAGCGAAGAUGGAAGAGACCAAAUUGUAAUUUAAUUAGUUGUUAAAGGGCGAUUGAGUUGUGAAGAGACAAGGAUUAUAUGUCCUGUAGCAACGAAGUGGUGUUGAUUAGAAGAGUAGUUCUGUUUGGUAGUGCAGAAUGAAUUUAGGUGGUGAUUAUCAUCUGAGUCUAAAUAUUAAGUUGAGACCGAUAGUGAAUUAGUACUGCGAAGGGA
rnacentral:rRNA from 1 species